GCCCUACUCGGCCCCUUUCAUCACAACUCCUCAGGGAAGGGAGGGAGAUAAGGAACCCGGGGUGUCUUCAAGAGUGGCGUGGUUGUUGUUGGGGGAUGCAACGUCGCCGGGGCAAGCAUUCGAGAGAUGGGUGGCGCUGGUGCGUAAGCACUGCCGCCAGCUCCGGGACUCUGGAUUCCCUCAUCGGGCGCCCAAGAAUGUCGCCAUUCCCUUCGA